AGAGUAGGGUUGGGCUAAAAAAUCCUUAGGAUAGAUUAGAUUGAUAACCAAGGGUUGGCCAUUUGUGAGAUAGGGUCGAAAUCAGACCUCUGGCCACAAAAACGAUGGCCUAGGGCAAAAAAUGGAUUUAUUUGAAAAUCGAAGGAUAAGAUUUGAGAGCUAGCUUGAAGUUCUUUCCAAAAGCAUAAGGAAUUUUUUUGAAAGAUUUUUGAGGACUUAGCAAUUAUUAUUCAAAGUCAGGGUUUGUAUCAGUGAUUUGGAUUUUAUAUAAUAUAAUUAGGGCUAGCAAUUUUGGUUAGUUUGUACAAUUGGUGUAACAUCUACGGUUGAGAAUUUGAUAUUAUUUGGAUUAUUGGGUGUGCUAAGUGUACACAAAAUUAUGUGAUAAUCUAACGGUGUGGUUUAGAAAUAUCUAGUUUUUAGCACAAGAGGAUUUCAAAAGGUGGCAGUUUGAGGUUGGGUAGGGUUUCUAUGAUGUCUAAAGUUCUAUUAGCCGAAUUAAGAUGAAAAUUGGCAUUGUAUUGAAGGACUUGAAGAUCAAACUACAUACCAAUUUUGAGACAAAGUUAAUGGUUGAAAAGAAAGAAAUCACUAUUAGAUUUCUACUUUACUUUUCAAGUUGGCGGCCAAGUGACAUCAAUG
rnacentral:lncRNA from 1 species